UAAACCUGGUUGAUCCUGCCAGUAGUCAUAUGCUUGUCUCAAAGAUUAAGCCAUGCAUGUCUAAGUAUAAAUGAUUUUAUACAGUGAAACUGCGAAUGGCUCAUUAAAUCAGCCAUAAUUUACUUGAUAAUACCAAAAAAACUUAAAAGGAUAACUGUAGUAAUUCUAGAGCUAAUACAUGCUAAAAGCCUCAU
rnacentral:rRNA from 1 species